rnacentral:rRNA from 1 species
CUACGUGCCAGCAGCCGCGGUAAUACGUAGGUCCCGAGCGUUAUCCGGAUUUAUUGGGCGUAAAGCGAGCGCAGGCGGUUAGAUAAGUCUGAAGUUAAAGGCUGUGGCUUAACCAUAGUACGCUUUGGAAACUGUUUAACUUGAGUGCAGAAGGGGAGAGUGGAAUUCCAUGUGUAGCGGUGAAAUGCGUAGAUAUAUGGAGGAACACCGGUGGCGAAAGCGGCUCUCUGGCUUGUAACUGACGCUGAGGCUCGAAAGCGUGGGGAGCAAACAGGAUUAGAUACCCUGGUAGUCCACGCUGUAAACGAUGUCGAUUUGGGGGUUGAGCUUUAAGUUUGGCGCCCGUAGCUAACGUGAUAAAUCGACCGCCUGGGGAGUACGGCCGCAAGGUUAAAACUCAAAUGAAUUGACGGGGGCCCGCACAAGCGGUGGAGCAUGUGGUUUAAUUCGAUGCAACGCGAAGAACCUUACCUACUCUUGACAUCCAGAGAACAUUC